GCAAAGCAUCAGCAGCAGUAAGAGUGAAAAAAAAGAAAGAAGAGAGCUCGGAAGAACCAAGAAAGAAAAAGAGGAUUUCAUGCGUGCCUCCCCACGGGUUGAAUUAACUUGGUUUCGCGGCGCCCUGGGUCACAGGAGGACCAGCUGCGGCUGUUUAGCAGAAGAUGAUGAACUGAGCAGGAGGUUAAGAGGGAGGUCAAAUGAAUCUAUUCCAAAUGGUUAUGUUGCUUCACUUUAGAAGUCAGAGUCUUUAGUUUUGCAGAGCUGAAAGUUGCAACAAGAAGCUUCAGAUCUCAUACAAUUCUCGGCAAUGGUGAUAUUGGUAGUCUUGAAAGGCUGCCUUGAUGAGAAUGGGUCUUCCCAGAGCAAAAAAAUGACUCCAAUUGCCCAAUAUAUAUAUUGAACCUUGAGAGCGUGCAAGGAUUCAAAGAGUGGAAGUUGGAGGUGAACUACCUUGGCAGCUUAUCUCAUCCAGAGGAUUGUCAGGCUAAUGAGAUGUUGUUUGGAGGAUGAAGAACUACUCCUUGGCCAUGACUUCUUCCCAGAGGGUACCCUAAAGAGCCAUCUCUUUGGAA